rnacentral:pre_miRNA from 1 species
CCCACACCCAUGUAUGUAGGAUCCCAAAAGAUCACUAUUAAAUUUGGCACAGAUCUCUAUAAAAGUUGUCAGAUGGGUGUGGGAUUUGACUUUUCUAGAGAUUUGUGCCAAAUUUAAUGGUAAUCAUUCGAGGUCCUGCAUACAUGGGUGUAGG